UACGAAGGGGGCUAGCGUUGCUCGGAAUUACUGGGCGUAAAGCGCACGUAGGCGGCUUGUUAAGUCAGGGGUGAAAUCCUGGAGCUCAACUCCAGAACUGCCUUUGAUACUGGAUGGCUUGAAUUCGGGAGAGGGAUGCGGAAUUCCAGGUGUAGCGGUGAAAUGCGUAGAUAUCUGGAGGAACACCGGUGGCGAAGGCGGCAUCCUGGACCGAGAUUGACGCUGAUGCGCGAAAGCCAGGGGAGCAAACGGG
rnacentral:rRNA from 1 species